CCAUUGGUUAUAGAAACUUUUUUUGUGAAACUUUGUUGCCAAUUAGGGAGCGUAAUCCUUUGGUUAUAAAAGAAAGUUUUAGAAGGCUUUGGAACUUGGAAGAGUUUUUCUAUUUGUUUGCUUUUGGAAUGGAUACGGGGAUUAUUUUUCUUUGCAAUUGAGGUUGUUGAUAUGAUUGAUUUAUAUAAUCUUGUAUAUGUACAAUUACCUUUCAAAUUUCCUAAUUUUCUUAUUAUUAGUCUACCAAUGCAAGCCUUUUUUCUUUUUAAAUUCCAUAUUACUAAAGAUCAAGUUUUAUAAAAUAAUAAAAUAAAAAAACUGAAACCGAAUGAACAAAGCCAAACCUAAAAAAAACUGAACUAAAAAAAAAAAAAAAAAAACCAAAAGAAAAUUCAACUGAACUGACCGAAUGAAACCGAACCCACUCAUAAUGAGAUUUGACGAAGUAAUAUGGGUCAUAUGAGUAAUGUCCAAGCUACGUAGGCGCAAAAAAGUGCGACCGUACCUCUGGAAGUCAGAAAUCUUCAUUGAGAUUGAGGAACCAUCACCAUGGAUCUUUGAAACGACAUCGUUUUGGACUUGGAAUAUAAAAAAUAAUAAUUGGAACGACAUCGUUUUGAUUUUAAAAAAUAUACAUAACACAAAUAACAGGAGACCACUGAUCCCCAUUAUACACACACGAGAGGAACCGAGCACCAGCACCAAAAUCCAGCCUCCAAACAUACUCAAGACAAAAAGGUAAGAAGCUUUUUCUGCCAUUGGCCAUUGGAAGCAGCAGCCAGGUGACCGCCACCAGUCACACGUCAUUGCUCUCCACACUCGACGCGGUCGUUAGCCAUCGGCCCACCACCAUCGGCCACCGUCAAUGUUGAGAACUGUAGGCACAUAACUGGCUACUCUUCAAACAUGGAUUUGACCUUACAUGCAAAUCAGUGCGGCUAUAACCAGGAGCAACACUAUGAAUCUAUGAGACGGCUUCUAAUAAUACUACCAUGAGCGCCUUGGCUUCCCGAGACUGUUUUAUAACCCAAAGAUUGAGAAGAACAAUGAACAGUGUAGAUACUCUUAAGGAGAAGGAGCAGUGGACCGAAAAAACUGCUGCCUCAAAGAAUUUGGAGGGUAAUUUCCUAUUCGCUUGCAAAUAUUGUACUUGACAAGGCAUGUAAUGCUAAUGAUAUGUUUUAGGGUACUUUAACGAAAAACUCCUUGUACUGUUCACUUUAACGAAAAACCGUAUUUUCACACUAAAAGUCAAUCCUGAUACUAUUCAUUUUACCCUUUA